rnacentral:rRNA from 1 species
AGUGAACGCUGGCGGUAGGCCUAACACAUGCAAGUCGAACGGCAGCACAGUAAGAGCUUGCUCUUACGGGUGGCGAGUGGCGGACGGGUGAGGAAUACAUCGGAAUCUACUUUUUCGUGGGGGAUAACGUAGGGAAACUUACGCUAAUACCGCAUACGACCUACGGGUGAAAGCAGGGGAGCUUCGGACCUUGCGCGGAUGAAUGAGCCGAUGUCGGAUUAGCUAGGUGGCGGGGUAAAGGCCCACCAAGGCGACGAUCCGUAGCUGGUCUGAGAGGAUGAUCGGCCACACUGGAACUGGGACACGGUCCAGACUCCUGCGGGAGGCAGCAGUGGGGUAUAUUGGACAGUGGGGGCAAGCCUGAUCCAGCCAUACCGCGUGGGUGGAGAAGGCCUUCGGUUUGUAAAGCCCUUUUGUUGGGAAAGAACAGCAGCAGGUUAAUACCACGCUGUUCUGACGGUACCCAAAGAAUAAGCACCGGCUAACUUCGUG